GAGGGUGACAGGGGCCCUCCCCUGACAGCACGGCUCAGCUGGGAGGCCCCAGAGAGUGGAACAGAUGGGGGAAGUCUGAGAGGGAUAUCCUAGCCGCCUGAGGACUCUGUCUUCUUUGUUACAGAUUUUAGUUGACUUUCCCUUUUUUUCUUUCUUUGUUUUUUGUUAAGGAGGCAGUUUAGCAUCAGGCUGGUCUAAUUGUGCUGUGUCUGCUUACUCUAAAGGAAAAGCAGAAGAGAACAGGUCCAGCCACCCACAUUUUGCCUUGGCCUCACCGAGAUUCGAGGCUGGUACAGAGGGAGGACUACAGAGAGUGCAGUAUCUCCGAGCAGCCUGCCACUGCUCCUGGCUGUCCAACCGUAACGCCACUGUCUUUGUGUUACUCGAGGCUGCCUCGCGUGAAGAUGACUGGAAAUCCAGGGUGUGAAACUGGGAGGCCCAAGCAGAGUGAGUGGCUGCUCUCAUCAGUAUUCCCGGUACCCAGGAACCGCUGCCUGCCAUAGCCUAGUCUGCUGCAAAGCUCCCUGGGAGACUGCAGUCUUGGGGAACUAUGGAGCUCUCAAGGAUGAAUGGAAGAGGAGAGGUAGCAUUUGUCUGCAUCAUAAAGCUUCUGUGGAAAGCCUUCCAGGUGACUUUCAACGUUAGGACUUGUGCAUAGUUACUUUUUUUCUGAAGCAGCAAAUUCUCUGUAGCGAGGUCACUGAACAGUGAAUGGGCUGGCACUGAGGCAGAAUCACUUGGAAGCAGCCGAUCUCUGGGGAUUAUGAGCGCCCAGAACUCAGAAUGGUUUCUUCUCCACUUACUCUGCAUCUUCUGUUAGUGACUUUUGACUCUAGAGAGAGGACUUAUAGGCCAGCUGCCCACACAACUUCCUCCUGGAAGGACCUUCCACAGGUGCACAGGCUCCCACUAGAGCAAGGGUGAUCCGGGCUUCCUUCUGAGAGGGAAAUCCCUGUUAGGUUACCUUCAGCAGCUAGUGCUUCUUGAAGCAUGAUCAUCAGAAUUAGGGUUUAGCAUUGCACCCUGUAACUAUCACUUUGCACAAAAAAGGAAAUCAUCUUGGAAUUUUUCUCACAUCAUCCUCACAAAUCAAGGAUAUUGAAAAAUAUUCUGUUAGAAACACCGGUGGUUAAACUGAAGCAGAAUAACCAGAGAGAAAGAAAUAGGUGCGACGAUUGGGCUGUCUUCAAGAGCUGGGAGUAUCCAGAAUUCAAAAGCAAGACCAACUUACAGAGUAACGUUGAACACCUGGCCUGGUACAAUUCUACAUACGGUUGUUUCCAGGCUCAAAAUCUGCUGCUUCUCUGAUACCAUCCUGCAUGACCCAGCACAGAGCUGAGAUAAAUCUCCCUGGCCUGCAGCUCCCUGGUGAAAAUUAACUUCCAUAUUAGAUCACAAUCUCAGUUCUGGGCCAUAUCAUC